GCUGAACAGGUGAAGAAGAAAAAGAAAGACGAGAUGUGGGAUCCGGCUAUCCGAGAGGAUCUUUCCUGAACAAUGGAGGGAGCAGGACCGCGGGUAGCGCGACAACGUGGAAGCACGGACUGCACAGCCCUAACACUACAGACUCCCUAAUGUUCUGUGCCUCUUGGAAACAGUGUUGGCUUGAGAGGGAUUAUACUAUCUGUGAUUACCUGGUCAAGGAAUAUUCUUGCCAACGGAGCACAGUCAGUGGACCUGAUGAACCGUACAACAUCUGCCACACUCCACUUCAGUGGAUUACUGUCCAGGUG